rnacentral:rRNA from 1 species
UAGGGAAUCUUCGGCAAUGGACGAAAGUCUGACCGAGCAACGCCGCGUGAGUGAAGAAGGUUUUCGGAUCGUAAAACUCUGUUGUUAGAGAAGAACAAGGACGUUAGUAACUGAACGUCCCCUGACGGUAUCUAACCAGAAAGCCACGGCUAACUACGUGCCAGCAGCCGCGGUAAUACGUAGGUGGCAAGCGUUGUCCGGAUUUAUUGGGCGUAAAGCGAGCGCAGGCGGUUUCUUAAGUCUGAUGUGAAAGCCCCCGGCUCAACCGGGGAGGGUCAUUGGAAACUGGGGGACUUGAGUGCAGAAGAGGGGAGUGGAAUUCCAUGUGUAGCGGUGAAAUGCGUAGAUAUAUGGAGGAACACCAGUGGUGAAGGCGGCUCUCUGGUCUGUAACUGACGCUGAGGCUCGAAAGCGUGGGGAGCAAACAGG